GGGCCCGUAGCUCAGUUGGCUAGAGCGCUUCGAUGGCAUCGAAGAGGUCGGGAGUUCGAGCCUCCCCGGGUCCACCA
rnacentral:tRNA from 1 species